rnacentral:rRNA from 1 species
AGGACGAACGCUGGCGGCGUGCUUAACACAUGCAAGUCGAGCGGUAAGGCCUUUCGGGGUACACGAGCGGCGAACGGGUGAGUAACACGUGGGUGAUCUGCCCUGCACUUCGGGAUAAGCCUGGGAAACUGGGUCUAAUACCGGAUAUGACCUCCUAUCGCAUGGUGGGUGGUGGAAAGAUUUAUCGGUGCAGGAUGGGCCCGCGGCCUAUCAGCUUGUUGGUGGGUAAUGGCCUACCAAGGCGACGACGGGUAGCCGACCGUGAGAGGGUGACCGGCACACGUGGACUGAGACACGGCCCAGACUCCUACGAGAGGCAGCAGGUGGGGAAUAGUUGCACGAAGUGGGACGAAAGCCUGAUGCAGCGACGCCGCGUCGAGG